rnacentral:misc_RNA from 1 species
UUUUUUGACAUGCCUUUUUUCCGACAUUUUUUAAAAAAUUUAGAUUUUAAUGGCAAAUGAUCAGGACUUCGAUUCUGGUUACGAAUUAGUAUUCGAUGUGGCCUGGGACAUGGCUCUAAAAGGUAUUUCUACACGGUUUUUACAUUGGACAAGAGGGUGUAUGAGACGUGGUGGCAAGAAAACAAGAAAAUCCAAUAAAGUAUUUGGUCUGACGGUCUGGGAUGUUUCUAAAUCGGACGUUUCUAUGCGAUAUCUAGCCGAUGGUUUUCAACUGCAACCCUAAAAAGCAAUGAAUGACAAUACAAAAAUAGUUCGCGCCUAAACAUAUUUCAAAUCGUUAUUGGAAUUUUAAAUCGUUGAAGACUAAACAAAGAAAUACAACAGACACAUCGAUGUGGACUGCAUAAAUGGGAAAUCCCGCCAUAAACAUUUGGCGAAUAGUACUACGGAUUUGCGGGGGACCCGAAACAAUUCAACCGGGACAGAUCCAACUGCGGCUGCGUGAUAUACUCCAGCAAAUUGCGAGCAGCCAAUGCCAAAACAACUUCCAAACAGAGCUGAUGCAAAUUUUAAGGGAGUCCAAAAACUAACGUUUAUUUUACUUAUAUGAAUUGUUUGUUGUUUUAUUAAAGCUUACAAAAUUGCCAAUAAAAUUUCAACGGACGGAAAAGGAAAUAGACGGAGGAUAGACGGAGCGCAAGAAUUAACAAU